CCUACGGGAGGCAGCAGUGAGGAAUAUUGGUCAAUGGGCGGGAGCCUGAACCAGCCAAGUCGCGUGAGGGAAGACGGUCCUAUGGAUUGUAAACCUCUUUAGGCGGGGAGCAAUGCCGGGCACGUGUGCCCGGAGGGAGAGUACCCGCAGAAUAAGCAUCGGCUAACUCCGUGCCAGCAGCCGCGGUAAUACGGAGGAUCCGAGCGUUAUCCGGAUUUAUUGGGUUUAAAGGGUGCGUAGGCGGUUUGAUAAGUUAGAGGUGAAAUGUCGGGGCUCAACCCCGAAACUGCCUCUAAUACUGUUGGACUAGAGAAUAGUUGCGGUAGGCGGAAUGUAUGGUGUAGCGGUGAAAUGCUUAGAGAUCAUACAGAACACCGAUUGCGAAGGCAGCUUACCAAACUAUAUCUGACGUUGAGGCACGAAAGCGUGGGUAGCAAACAGGAUUAGAUACCCUUGUAGUC
rnacentral:rRNA from 1 species